AUGAGCAGACGGUAGCUAUCAAGGAUAUAUAUAUAUAUAUAUAUCAUUGAUAGCUACCGUCUUCACGU